rnacentral:rRNA from 1 species
CACAAGGGGUGAAGCCUGCGGUUCAAUUGGAGUCAACGCCAGAAAUCUUACCCGGAGAGACAGCAGAAUGAAGGUCAGGCUGAAGACCUUACCAGACAAGCUGAGAGGUGGUGCAUGGCCGUCGCCAGCUCGUGCCGUGAGAUGUCCUGUUAAGUCAGGUAACGAGCGAGAUCCCUGCCAUUAGUUGCCAUCACUACUCUCAGGAGUAGUGGGGCGAAUUAAUGGGACCGCCGUAGUUAAUACGGAGGAAGGAAGGGGCCACGGCAGGUCAGUAUGCCCCGAAACUCUGGGGCCACACGCGGGCUGCAAUGGUAGUGACAAUGGGUUCCUAACUCGAAAGAGAGCGGCAAUCCCAAAACGCUACCACAGUUAUGACUGAGGGCUGUAACUCGCCCUCACGAAUAUGGAAUCCCUAGUAACUGCGUGUCAUUAUCGCGCGGUGAAUACGUCCCUGCUCCUUGCACACACCGCCCGUCGUUUCAUCGAAGUUUGCUUUUAGCGAGGUGAUGUCUCAUUGGCAUCAUCGAACUUGAGGUAGGUGACGAGGGAAAAGUCGUAACAAGGUGACCGUAGGGGAACCUGCGGUCGGAUCACCUCCUU